GACGGCGAGUGAGCGGCAACAGCUCAAUUUGAAAUCUGGCGUCUUUGGCGUCCGAGUUGUAAUUUGCAGAGGGCGCUUUGGCAUUGGCAGCGGUCCAAGUUCCUUGGAACAGGACGUCACAGAGGGUGAGAAUCCCGUACGUGGUCGCUAGCCUUUACCGUGUAAAGCCCCUUCGACGAGUCGAGUUGUUUGGGAAUGCAGCUCUAAAUGGGAGGUAAAUUUCUUCUAAAGCUAAAUACUGGCCAGAGACCGAUAGCGCACAAGUAGAGUGAUCGAAAGAUGAAAAGCACUUUGGAAAGAGAGUUAAAAAGCACGUGAAAUUGUUGAAAGGGAAGCGCUUGCAGCCAGACUUGCCUGUAGUUGCUCAUCCGGGUUUCUACCCGGUGCACUCUUCUAUAGGCAGGCCAGCAUCAGUUUGGGCGGUUGGAUAAAGGUCUCUGUCAUGUACCUCUCUUCGGGGAGAACUUAUAGGGGAGACGACAUGCAACCAGCCUGGACUGAGGUCCGCGCAUCUGCUAGGAUGCUGGCGUAAUGGCUGUAAGCGGC
rnacentral:rRNA from 1 species